rnacentral:rRNA from 1 species
GACGAACGCUGGCGGCGUGCUUAACACAUGCAAGUCGAACGAAGUGGCGAACGGGUGAGUAACGCGUAAUCAACCUGCCCUUCAGAGGGGGACAACAGUGGGAAACGACUGCUAAUACCGAAUACUGAAGGAGGGGAUUGCGUCGGAUUAGCUAGUUGGAGGGGUAACGGCCCACCAAGGCGAGGAUCAGUAGGCGGUCUGAGGGGAUGAACGGCCACAAUUGGACGGGGCCACGGCCCAGACUCCUACGGGAGGCAGCAGUGGGGAAUCUUCCGCAAUGGACGAAAGUCUGACGGAGCAACGCCGCGUGAGUGAUGACGGCCUUCGGGUUGUAAAGCUCUGUUAAUCGGGACGCGGUACCGGAAUAGAAAGCCACGGCUAACUACGUGCCAGCCGCCGCGGUAAUUC